rnacentral:tRNA from 1 species
AGUUGCUAAGUAGUAUAUCUAUAUUUGAUUGCGGUUUGAAAGGUUUUGGCAUCUU